AUUGAACGCUGGCGGCAGGCCUAACACAUGCAAGUCGAACGAGUGGCGAACGGGUGAGUAAUACGUGAGUAACCUGCCCUCUUUAUGGGAUAAGCCUUGGAAACGGGGUCUAAUACCGAAUAAAGGGGGAUGGGCUCGCGGGCUAUCAGCUUGUUGGUGGGGUGAUGGCCUACCAAGGCGGUGACGGGUAGCCGGCCUGAGGGGGUGACCGGCGACAUGGGGAAUGGGACACGCCCCUGAGUGCUACGGCAGGCGGGAGUAGGGGAUAUUGCACAAUAGGCGAAAGCCUGAUGCAGCGACGCCGCGUGGGGGAUGUAGGCUUUCGGGUUGUAAACCUCUUUCGCUAUGGAAGCGGUAGGUGGAGAAGAAGCGCCGGCUAACUACGUGCCAGCAGCCGCGGUAAUAC
rnacentral:rRNA from 1 species